rnacentral:rRNA from 1 species
UACAGAGGGUGCAAGCGUUGUUCGGAAUUACUGGGCGUAAAGCGCGUGUAGGCGGUCUGAUAAGUCGGUCGUGAAAUCCCUUGGCUUAACCAAGGAACUGCGAUCGAAACUGCCGGACUAGAGUAUCGGAGGGGGUGGCGGAAUUCCCGGUGUAGAGGUGAAAUUCGUAGAUAUCGGGAGGAACACCUGUGGCGAAGGCGGCCACCUGGAAGAUUACUGACGCUGAGACGCGAAAGCGUGGGGAGCAAACAGG